CCGAUCGCCCGCCGGUGUGCGGAUUGGCCCUUCCAGGCGCUCUCACCCGCACUUAGGGCUGGACUUCACGUUCCCGAAUACAGUCUGUGUGCCCAGGCCCAGAACGGAACUUCAGACUUGCGAGAACAUAUCAGAUUGUAACCACCCAGUGAGAGCCAGAGUCAUCUAGAAGAUGGAAGGAGCUAACGCCAUUCAACGUUGGGAGAUUGUGAUCUGCACCACAGGGCACUAUGUGUUUGCCAAGUGGUAACCCUUGUCUUAAGGUCACACUGGGUCCUGAAGCCUUUGAAGAAGCAUCUCUACAUGUGGAAAUUCAUGCAGGAGGACUGCUACAGGUGAAGAAGUACUAAAUUGCCCUUGAUCCCCAACAAGCACCAUCACUCUCUGUAUCUUCUCGUCAGUGUGGUCCCCAGACAUUCAGAUGUGAAGGAACCUGAACACCACAAUUUUCAAAAUAAAAAAACAGAAGGAACAACACGAUAAAGACCAAUAUCAAAGUGGAAAAUGAAAAAAAUUGUCUGCCAAGCAAGUACAACUGGGCUUUAACAAAAGUCGUAAGAUUAUCUGUACAUUUUUUUUCUUUCAUGGAGAACGGUCACUAGACUGAAUGAAACAAAACAGUACAGAAACCAAUGAAAUAGGUCCUUCUUCCCCCUUUCCCAUUCGCUUUACAACAUCCCACACAA